AUUUAAAUAGCUUAUAAUAAAGAGUAUAAUAUUGAAAAUAUUAAGGAAAUUUUUUAAUUUUUAAAUA
rnacentral:tRNA from 1 species